CGCAGAUGCCUCCCGCGGCGGCUGCAGCGACUGCACCGGCAGCCCCGCCCCGCGCGGGUCAUGUGGCUGCAGGUCACGCGGUGGCGCGCUCGGUCGCCGGGGCUGAUUCUUAGGGGCCGCGGCUCCGCGGAAGCGUCUGCCCCGCGGGCCAGGGGCCGCCCACUGUGCUUUGAGUUCCGGGGCUGAAAAUGAGAACAUACCAAACGGGCCAUCCCAAGGCAGCUGGGCGCCCAUGUCUUGCAGUUCCCCUGACUCGGCUCGCCCUUUCCUUUUGGGCCCAGCUGCGGCUCCAUCUUCUGGUGAGACCCUGAUGAGCUGGGACUGUGCAGCGAACACAAGUUCUGGGUGAACUUCCUGUUUGCCUAAAAGUGGGAACUGCACUUUUAAGGCAAAGUCCCUCAGCAAAGCCGGAGCUGAUUUUAUGAAAGCGUCUGGGAAGCCCGGGAGCGGGGUCUGGUGGAUUUUCAGAAGAGAAAGGAUUUCAGGAUGUAAGGACUUUGCAGCUGUGUUAAUGUAUCCGUGGAGCAAGGCUGCCUUUGGCCGGCUGACUUUCCAGAAAGGUCCUGGGAGUGAGACGCUUGCUGAUUGGCUGUCGUCUAGGAGCAUGGACACUGUCACUGAUUGGUUGGCUUUUAGAGGCUUGGGUCGGCCUGGAUUUGCUCACAUAAAGAAGCAUAGUUACUGAAGUGAGGGUGUCGCUGAUUGGCUGGUUUUCAGGGGGGAAAAAAUCAGUUCUUUCUUACGGUGGUUACUGUUCACGGCGUGGGACUAUGGCCAAAGAACAGUGUUUUCCUUUCCUGAAUGUGCAAAUAAAUACAUUUAAUUCUGA